GUGGGGAAUUUUGGACAAUGGACGAAAGUCUGAUCCAGCAACGCCGCGUGGGGGAUGAAGGUCUUCGGAUUGUAAACCUCUUUUGGAGAAGAUGAGUCCCGUCGCAAGACGGGAGGACAGUAUUCUCAGAAUAAGCCACGGCUAACUACGUGCCAGCAGCCGCGGUAAUACGUAGGUGGCUAGCGUUACUCGGAAUUACUAGGUGUAAAGCGCAGGUAGGUGGUCUGAUAAGUUGAGGGUGAAAGCCCCGAUGAAAUCGGGGACGUCUUUCAAUACUGUCAGGCUUGAGUGUGGUAGGGGGAACCAGAAUUCCCGGUGUAGCGGUGAAAUGCGUAGAUAUCGGGAGGAAUACCGAUGGCGAAAGCGGGUUCCUGGGCCAUUACUGACACUGAGCUGCGAAAGCGUGGGGAGCAAACAGGAUUAGAAACCCUAGUAGUCC
rnacentral:rRNA from 1 species